AGUGGCGAACGGGUGAGUAACACGUGGGCAACCUGCCCAAAAGAGGGGGAUAACACUUGGAAACAGGUGCUAAUACCGCAUAACCAUAGUUACCGCAUGGUAACUAUGUAAAAGGUGGCUAUGCUACCGCUUUUGGAUGGGCCCGCGACGCAUUAGCUAGUUGGUGGGGUAAAGGCUUACCAAGGCAAUGAUGCGUAGCCGAACUGAGAGGUUGAUCGGCCACAUUGGGACUGAGACACGGCCCAAACUCCUACGGAAGGCAGCAG
rnacentral:rRNA from 1 species